AGAUUUCCCUUCGGGGACAGAAGUGACAGGUGGUGCAUGGUUGUCGUCAGCUAAUAUAGUGAGAUGUUGGGUUAAGUCCCGCAACGAGCGCAACCCUUGCCUUUAGUUGCCAGCAUUAAGUUGGGCACUCUAGAGGGACUGCCAGGGAUAACCUGGAGGAAGGUGGGGAUGACGUCAAAUCAUCAUGCCCCUUAUGCUUAGGGCUACACACGUGCUACAAUGGGUGGUACAGAGGGCAGCCAAGUCGUGAGGCGGAGCUAAUCCCUUAAAGCCAUUCUCAGUUCGGAUUGUAGGCUGAAACUCGCCUACAUGAAGCUGGAGUUACUAGUAAUCGCAGAUCAGAAUGCUGCGGUGAAUGCGUUCCCGGGUCUUGUACACACCGCC
rnacentral:rRNA from 1 species